GUUUGCACUUAUCGGGGAAGGGUGAGAACCUUCGAUUAAGGUUCGACUCGAGCGAAAGCGAGAGAACGUUGCCAACGGCAACGGCCCGU
rnacentral:sRNA from 1 species